rnacentral:lncRNA from 1 species
UUCACCUUCAUUAUUAUAUGACAAUUACCAUCAUUCUAUUGCUAUUACUUAGCUUUGGAACCCGUUAUUCUCUGACUUAGCUUUGGAACCGAUGAUGCAAUUACUUAGCUUCGGAACCCAUUAUGCAAUUACUACAGGCCAGGCAUCCACGGAGCGGUCACACACCACAUCUUACAUUAGGGACAUAUAUCGAAGGUACCUUGCACAGUAGUCAAUACAGAAUGAAAGCGGAGGAAACCAGUAUGGAACACCGACACAAGCAUACCUACCCAUGGGAUAAACAUACCAUAGUACCCACCACAUACCCAAGGGAGAAACAAACACACAUGCGCUAUAGCUCCCAUGCAACCACAUACUCUUCAAGUAGCACUACAAUUUCUUCAUUUGGCAUAGCUCAUUCUUUCAUUUAAGUAAACAUAGCUCAGCCUACCUCAACUCAAGGUAACGUCAACAAGUCUUUCGCUUGUUGGUUCGAUGCCCAGUAAUAGCGGGUACCUCGUUAAUUCAUAGGUAGGUGGUUGGUGCACUCUCAAAUGCUUUUAGGGACCAUCAAUAGUUAAGUAGACACUGCUUUCGAGUUGGGCAAUGCAGACUUGAGGCAGGGAGUAAUAGAAUGAGACCCCUUAGAGGCAGUAAAACUAGGCAAGUAAGGAGUCAGGUUCAGUAACAAUAGUCCUAAAAGCAGUGGAGCAGGCCUAUAAUACAGUUUAGUCUGACUAGUAGCUGGGGUUGGUGAAGAAGUAAUGUUUAGGGUUGAUUGCCUCUAUGCGCUAUUGCCGGUAAGUCGGCGUAUUUUGUAUUAUAAGUUAGAUUAUGAGAAGCACUGGUUUGAUUAUGAGGGGAUCCCCUAGGAUUUUGUUCUUUAUUGACUACUUGGUAUGGUAGCGGCUCUCCGUGGGCUAAUAAAGAACCUAAGUGGUUGGAUGCCCUGCCCCCAGCUCAAGUCUUAUUGUUAGUGGUUCUCUUCCUGGUGCGCUAGUGAAGGUCCUGUCCAGUUUGCCUGGUUUCUAUCGUUUUAUGCCUUAGUUCCAUUCCAUUAAGUAAUAGCUCUAUUCUGGUUUUCCCGGGUGCAAUUCUUUGUAUUAGUUGCAGGGAUGCGCUAGAGCGUAGCCAUAUUCUGAUUCCUCCGUUCGAAAGUCAAUAAAAGCAAGUAAAGAAACCCCGAGUCAUAGUGUGUUUGAAAACGAGGAGCGGAAGCCUCUAACUAACACAUAGGCAUUUCUUUAUGUAUUUCAGUAGCAACUAUAGGAAUUGGAGCUAGGAGACAAAGGCUAAGAGCCUGUAAAGUCAGUCGAAAAGCAAGUGAAGUCAGACUUAAGGGGCUGUCGGAUAAGCCGGAGUUCCUAGUUAAAGCAGUCUUGUCAGCAGUAGUUGUUAUAGGCCCGACUACUGUAAGCUAAUCCCAUAGUGAGUAACUAGGCGGUGGAAGCAAAUCUGAUAGUUGGAGUUAGGCGGGGAAGUGGAAGAAAGGCCUUCCAGAUAGGAUUCUCAAAGAUAGGAACGAGCCUAUCUACUGGUUUCCUUGCACAUGAAAAGGAUGAUUGUACAUCUUCGAGACACAAGAUAUUGAAAGAUUCUCCAUUGUUCUUGAUUUAUGGAAAUAACAUAUCAUAGAUAGAUCUUGUUGAAUAUCAUAGAUGGAUCUUGUUUAUUGCUUGGUGGCUGAUCAUAUCAUAGAUGGAUCUUGUUUAUUGCUUGGUGGCUGAUCAAUGAAUGCGUCUGUCUUUCUCUCAUGAGGGACUUGAGCCCAAUAGUGCUGUUUCGACGGCUAAGUAUCUAUUUGUGGGAAGACCUUAUGUCUCAGGCGCUACGGUGCGAGACGUGUUAUCCGGCAAUGCGCGGUCAGAUCAUUUCUUGGAAGCAAGCAAGGAUCGAGAUAUUCCGCUUUGAUUAGCGAGGCAUCAGUCGGUUUCAUGGUUUCUAUCACUUCCGGAAGUUCAAGAAGAUCUAUCAUCUUUGAUUAUUGGAAUCCUCCUUGGCCAGGCCAGCAACUGAAAAUGCCUGCAACACACUGAUUCGAGUCCUCGAGUUAGCUCAUCUGCUAGUGAGCCUUCUUCUUCUGCAAUAGAUCAGGAACCCCGCCUUUCUUCAGCCCAUGAACUAAGCCGGCCAUUAACAUCGUCCUAAUUUCGUUUGAUCGGUAUUUUCGCUUGUUUUUCAUCGUGACUGGAACGACGAUACAACCUAAACCCUUCUCUGCUACCAAAUCAUAGAUCUUCCAGAGAAGACCAAACCGAAUGAGCUCGCUCGGUUCUCGUCUGAUACUAAAUUCCUUUCAUAGCUGCUAGAUCUCUGAUGAAAUUCCUUUCAUAGCUGCUAGAUCUCUGAUUCAACGGAAUAUACAUUGGACUUUGAUAUGCUCCACCAACUGUAGUAUAUCUUACAGCUCAAAGAAAAAGUGUUAUUAGGGGGGCUUAGGUCGAUCUCCAAAAUAACCUAACUCAACUCGUGGCUGGCUAUAGUAUCUCUUAACAAAGAGUCGAACGAACUUCCUUAUCAUACUCCUAUUUAGGUGCACAUAAGGACUAAGAUUGGUUUGCAGCUUCAAGCAUCAAAUGUAAUAAAGACAGAUAUACUAACACCCACCCCAAGGUACGACUCAUGAGAACAAUGGUCACAACUAAAUCCAAAUAAUUCCAUUCAGCUGUGGGC